AUUGAACGCCGGCGGCAGGCUUAACACAUGCAAGUCGAGCGGAGAUGAGGUGCUUGCACCUUAUCUUAGCGGCGGACGGGUGAGUAAUGCUUAGGAAUCUGCCUAUUAGUGGGGGACAACACUCCGAAAGGAAUGCUAAUACCGCAUACGUCCUACGGGAUAAAGCAGGGGAUCUUCGGACCUUGCGCUAAUAGAUGAGCCUAAGUCGGAUUAGCUAGUUGGUGGGGUAAAGGCCUACCAAGGCGACGAUCUGUAGCGGGUCUGAGAGGAUGAUCCGCCACACUGGGACUGAGACACGGCCCAGACUCCUACGGGAGGCAGCAGUGGGGAAUAUUGGACAAUGGGCGCAAGCCUGAUCCAGCCAUGCCGCGUGUGUGAAGAAGGCCUUAUGGUUGUAAAGCACUUUAAGCGAGGAGGAGGCUACUUUAGUUAAUACCUAGAGAUAGUGGACGUUACUCGCAGAAUAAGCACCGGCUAACUCUGUGCCAGCAGCCGCCGUAAAAC
rnacentral:rRNA from 1 species